UCCCAGUUCGGAUUGUAGUNUGCAACCCGACUACAUGAAGCUGGAAUCGCUAGUAAUCGCGAAUCAGAAUGUCGCGGUGAAUACGUUCCCGGGUCUUGUACACACCGCCCGUCACACCAUGGGAGUUGAAACGCCCGAAGUCAGUGACCGAACCGAAAGGGAGGAGCUGCCGAAGGCGGGUCGAAUAACUGGGGUGAAGUCGUAACAAGGUAAC
rnacentral:rRNA from 1 species